GAAACCACAGAAGCAACUUCUUUUUGUUGACACCAGUUAACUGUAGUCUGAGACUGAUCAGACCUCUCACCACAGUGUGUCUUGGUUUGGCUAACAGAAGUUUUCAUGUUGUGAGAACAUGUUUGCUUUGUGCUCUGUGGUGAAGCGUCUCAGUCUGUAUUAAAAGAAAAUGGCAGCUUUGUGGUCAUCUGCCUUCUAUUCUCACUACUUUCUGGUAAGAUGUUUUUCAGCAGAGAUGGUAAGAAGUGGAAAAAAAGCCCAACUGUGAAAACCCACAUCUGUGUAUAAAAGCUAUCAUUUAAUUUCUGCCUAACCCGAAAUAAAACCGUACUGCCACAGCUAUAGUGUAAUAAUAAAACAAUACUGUCAUCAUUGUACAUGCAAUCAUUUCUGUUUGUUUCAUUAUGCAGAGAAUGAUUCAACUGUAAUCUACUCAACAGUAAGAACACAACCCACCAAUUAUGAACAAAUAACCAUCACACCAAAGACGACCAGAGACUUUAAUCCAGAGCCAGAUGUCAUCUACACUUCACUGAAGUAGUCCACCAGUCCACCCAACUGGUCAGACCAGCUCUGGAGCCCAGACGACAUCCACAAUUUCAAAAGAUUACUCUAUGUAUUUUAUGUCUUUUUCCCAUUUAUUUAGACUCAUAUGCUUUAAGAAAUCACAUAAGCAUAACCGGAAUUAUGUAAGUACUUAAAAUGAACAAUGGUAAUAAACUCAGUCUAUCAGUUUGGCACUUUGUUCUUUUUCUCAUGCUAGCGAUUUUGUUUCACUGUAGGAUUAAUAAAUGUGUGGUUACAGUGUAAAUUUGGUUCUCUGAGUGAGAGAUUAUGUCUCCACUCCAUUACAUAUUCCAUAUGUACAUUAUAAGACCUGCGCUUCUUGGAUUCAGACAGAGCCCCAGAGCCUAAACAUGGAAGACCAGGAGGGCAACGUGGCUGUGGCACUGUUCUGCUGACGAGGCGCAGGCCAGCCAGUCGUCCAGGAAUCAGGAGCAGAGUGUGUGUUCUUGAAUGAGUGGAGUCACGGUCUGGGAACGGGAGUUUUUGGAGAUGUUGUAUUUUCACCUUUUCAUGAACACAGUGCCUGAGAUUUGUACAUAAUUGUAUUUCUUUGCCAACUGUAAAUAAAC